CCAAUAGCGUAUAUUAAAGUUGUUGCAGUUAAAAAGCUCGUAGUUGAAUUUCGGGAUCAAUACGUCGGUCGUGCUUUCGGGUACGUACUGGCGCCAUUGGUUUCUCCUUUCUGACGAACCAUGAUGUCAUUAAUUUGGUGUUAUGGGGAGUUAGGACUGUUACUUUGAAAAAAUUAGAGUGUUUAAAGCAGGCAUUAGCUUGAAUACAUUAGCAUGGAAUAAUGAAAUAGGACGUUCGAUCCUAUUUUGUUGGUUUCUAGGAUCAACGUAAUGAUUAAUAGGGAUAGUUGGGGGCAUUAGUAUUCAAUUGUCAGAGGUGAAAUUCUUGGAUUUAUUGAAGACUAACUACUGCGAAAGCAUUUGCCAAGGAUGUUUUCAUUAAUCAAGAACGAAAGUUAGGGGAUCGAAGACGAUCAGAUACCGUCGUAGUCUUAACCAUAAACUAUGCCGACUAGGGAUCGGAUGAUGUUAAUUUUUUAAUGACUCAUUCGGCGCCUUACG
rnacentral:rRNA from 1 species